CGUGUAGACACAAAGGUCUUCGACACAUGUGCAUUACAGGCUGCAAGGCAAGACGGAAAUAUGUCUGCAAAGAAACGCAGCACAGGCGAUUUCGAAGCAACUAGCAAGUUGCUCCUGGCGGCCCUCUUGCUUCUGUGGAUACUCUGGAUAAUGUUCGGCUACCGGAGCAACCUGGUGCGGCGGGCUGAACGUGAACACAUUGAAAUUGUGCACCCUCAUGCACGGACACCGCCACCGCAAAUCGGUCCGGAGAGUCAAGUGACCAAAAUGACCACUGUGAAAGAAAGUAACGACGCGUCCG